CAGCCAAGCAUGCUAGCAGCCAAGCAUGCUAGCAGCCAAGCAUGCUAGCAGCCAAGCAUGCUAGCAGCCAAGCAUGCUAGCAGCCAAGCAUGCUACUUAUUGAAUAACUAACGUAUUACCCAACUCACAGUCAAUUCUCAGGGCUCCCAAAUUACUUUCUACUUGAAAUACAAUUUUAUUACUUAAUUAAAACGUACAAAUGGAUUCUAAUAAAUAUUUUUUGUGCCAGAUAUUCUAAUAAGGUAGGAUGUUUUUAUUUUUUUAUCUUACACCCAAUCAUUAACCCAUGGAUGGAUAUACAUUUUUAAAAAUGUACCCUUCGAUUAGUUUAGACAUGUGACCUUUAAACUACCCAAACAUACGGUAUAUUCACCUUUCCUUUGUGGGCUGAAUCUGCCUGGUUUUAGAGAAGUGCUUUACUAGAUGGUGUCCUAUUGCCUUUACUAGUGUAUGCUGUUGGACCAGAGAAGUCCUUACCAAGAAGUCCUUUUUUGAGCCAAUUGACUGAUAUGAAAGUAUGUUGGAGAACAGACAUGUCCUAAACGGAACGAUAUACUGUAUUGUCGUCUUACAGUAAUGUGUUUUUUAUUUUUUUUACAUGUUAAGUCAUUUCGAAGGUACUGUACUAGAAUCUGUUUGUGUUUUAGUUUUUUAAGGUAUUCUGGUGAUAGUUUGGUUUACCAGUCUGUUUCUACAUUGUUUGUAAAUGACAAUGAGUUAACGUUACAGCACAAACAGAUCUGGGACCAGGCUAGUCUUGAUAUUUCUCCCAGGUGUUGUUGUCUGUGUCACACUGCUUUACUUUAUCUUGGCCAGGUCGCUCUUGUAAAUGAGAACUUGUUCUCAACUAACCUACCUGGUUAAAUAAAGGUGUUCUCAACUAGCCUACCUGGUUCAAUAAAGGUGUUCUCAACUAGCCUACCUGGUUAAAUAAAGGUGUUCUCAACUAGUCUACCCGGUUCAAUAAAGGUGUUCUCAACUAGCCUACCUGGUUAAAUAAAGGUGUUCUCAACUAGUCUACCCGGUUCAAUAAAGGUGUUCUCAACUAGCCUACCUGGUUAAAUAAAGGUGAAAUCAAUAACAAUACCUGUAUAGCACAUGUUCAUAUGAAGUGGUCUCUGUUUGAAGUCAUCUUUUUGUACAGUUGUCCCCGUAUGAGUUUCAUGUCUAUGUGCGUUUGAGUGUUGUACUGCCUGGUUUCCUAGCCCGCCUGCUUGCCGUUAGGCUAGCCUGGUGCCAACUCUGUUUUGCGUUAUCACGUCAACUCCUUGUCAUAAUGGCACACACAUCUGGGAACAGGCUACAAUUCAGUAGGAAAUACAGCCAUCGAUUUCAUCCUCAAUUACCGUACUGAAUUUCAGUAACUACUCUUGCUCUCCCCCAGGACUAGGGUGAUGUUGACCCGGGAUGCUGAUCUUGGGUCAGUUUUGCAUUUCACUAAUGCUUAGGCUUGGGGAAGGUGGAAUCUGAUCCUAGAUCUGUAUCUAGGGGAAUCUGAUCCUAGGUCUGUAUAGUAGGGGAAUCUGAUCCUAGAUCUGUAUCUAGGGGAAUCUGAUACUAGAUCUGUAUCUAGUGGAAUCUGAUCCUAGAUCUGUAUCUAGGGGAAUCUGAUCCUAGAUCUGUAUCUAGGGGAAACUGAUCCUAGAUCUGUAUCUAGGGGAAUCUGAUCCUAGAUCUGUAUCUAGGGGAAACUGCGCCUUGGUGUUACCAGUCUUUUUCUCUGCAGUUUUCCUUUAUAGAUCGUGG
ensembl:lncRNA